rnacentral:rRNA from 1 species
CCUACGGGGGGCAGCAGUGGGGAAUAUUGGACAAUGGGGGGAACCCUGAUCCAGCCAUGCCGCGUGUAUGAAGAAGGCCCUCGGGUUGUAAAGCACUUUCAGUGAGGAAGAACGCCUGGUGGUUAAUACCCAUCAGGAAAGACAUCACUCACAGAAGAAGCACCGGCUAACUCCGUGCCAGCAGCCGCGGUAAUACGGAGGGUGCGAGCGUUAAUCGGAAUUACUGGGCGUAAAGCGCGCGUAGGUGGCUUGAUAAGCCGGUUGUGAAAGCCCCGGGCUCAACCUGGGAACGGCAUCCGGAACUGUCAAGCUAGAGUGCAGGAGAGGAAGGUAGAAUUCCCGGUGUAGCGGUGAAAUGCGUAGAGAUCGGGAGGAAUACCAGUGGCGAAGGCGGCCUUCUGGACUGACACUGACACUGAGGUGCGAAAGCGUGGGUAGCAAACAGGAUUAGAUACCCUAGUAGUC